rnacentral:tRNA from 1 species
UCGAGCCGGGGCCCGCGGGCCAGCCCGCCGGUCCGGCCGGCGGUCCGGGCGCUGGCCCGGCCGCCGGUCCGGCCGGUGGUUCGGGC